rnacentral:rRNA from 1 species
UACUCCUACGGGAGGCAGCAGUGGGGGAAUAUUGUACAAUGGGGGAAACCCUGAUGCAGCGACGCCGCGUGAGUGAAGAAGUAUUUCGGUAUGUAAAGCUCUAUCAGCAGGGAAGAUAAUGACGGUACCUGACUAAGAAGCCCCGGCUAACUACGUGCCAGCAGCCGCGGUAAUACGUAGGGGGCAAGCGUUAUCCGGAUUUACUGGGUGUAAAGGGAGCGCAGGCGGUGCGGCAAGUCUGAUGUGAAAGCC